rnacentral:tRNA from 1 species
AGGGGCGUAGUUCAAUUGGUAGAGCACCGGUCUCCAAAACCGGGUUUGGGAGUUCGAGUCUCUCCGCCCCUGCCA